GCGUCGGUGAUCCAGCAAUAGAAUGUCGGACUGCCACGCGGACUGCCCGGGCUCAAAUCCCGACCGAAGCA
rnacentral:tRNA from 1 species